rnacentral:rRNA from 1 species
AGAGCGAACGCUGGCGGCAGGCCUAACACAUGCAAGUCGAGCGCCCGUAGCAAUACGGGAGCGGCAGACGGGAUAGUAACACGUGGGAACGCGCCCCUCGGUUCGGAAUAACUCAGGGAAACUUGAGCUAAUACCGAAUACGCCCUUACGGGGAAAGAUUUAUUGCCGAAGGAACGGCCCGCGUCCGAUUAGCUAGUUGGUGAGGUAAUGGCUCACCAAGGCUACGAUCGGUAGCUGGUCUGAGAGGAUGACCAGCAUCACUGGGACUGAGACACGGCCCAGACUCCUACGGGAGGCAGCAGUGGGGAAUAUUGGACAAUGGGCGCAAGCCUGAUCCAGCCAUGCCGCGUGAGUGAUGAAGGCCUUAGGGUUGUAAAGCUCUUUCGCCGAGGACGAUAAUGACGGUACUCGGAUAAGAAGCCCCGGCUAACUUCGUGCCAGCAGCCGC